rnacentral:rRNA from 1 species
UACGUAGGGUGCAAGCGUUAUCCGGAAUUACUGGGCGUAAAGGGCUCGUAGGCGGCCAACUAAGUCAGACGUGAAAUCCCUAGGCUCAACCCGGGAACUGCGUCCGAUACUGGCAGGCUUGAAUCCGGGAGAGGGAUGCGGAAUUCCAGGUGUAGCGGUGAAAUGCGUAGAUAUCUGGAGGAACACCGGUGGCGAAGGCGGUUCUCUGGGACGGUACUGACGCUGAGACGCGAAAGCGUGGGGAGCGAACAGG